GCAAAAAGAAAAAAAGUCACACCAUGUCUAUUGGGAAAGGGCUGCUGUUUUCCUGCCUCCUGAUUAUGUACGUCGCUUUUAUGAUCUCCAAAGCAACACCAGUGACUCUUAAGCAUAGCAUGAGGAAACUGCACGAUUGGUCUUCAACAUGUAGUCUCCGGAAAGCAGAAGAAGUUUACAUCAAAUUCAUGUUUCCUAUUGGAGGUCUACCGGCAGAAUACUAUUCAAACAGUUCAGAUUUAGUGCUUGAAGGAAUUACUUUUGGAAACGCCACUGAAAUUGAGAACCAGACUUCCAUCUGUGCCAUCCAUGACUACCUCAACUACCACCUGCCAACAAUACUCAACAAUCUUCACAAAUAUCCGGACAGCAUCCUCAAAGAAACUAAAGCCUUUCUCUCUCAAUUCACAAUAGCUGUUAAAAAUUCAGAAGAAGGGAAGAAUGUGCUAGAAGACUGCAACAGAAAUGUCACAACGUCAGAUGAUUACAGUAUGAAAAGACUCGGCCUCAGAAUCAUUUCUUACACCAGACGAUGGUUGGAGCAGUACACAGGAAUAAAGGUCACCUGUCUGGGCUUGAAAGAUUGAGAAGAGACACUUAUUUAUACAUUUUAUUAUUUGUUGGUAUACUAUUUAAGCUAUUCUAUAUUUAUUUAUUUAUUGAUGUUUGCCAGUAUUUAUUUUAUUUAUAUUGAAUGACGUA